rnacentral:rRNA from 1 species
AUGAAGCAUAGAUUAUCAUGCAAAGCUGAUGAUAUUGAUAGUAUUGAAGAAGUUAUAGAUAUACAAAGAGAUCUAGAUAGAUAUCAAAAAGAUACCCUAAGAAAAAUAAAGCCGCAACAAGUAUAUCAUAUGGGUAUGUUUGAAUGUAAGAGUGGUCUAUACAGAAUAUCUCGAGAAGUAGAAUUAAGUGUGUUAACACAUCCAGUAGAUUUAAGAAUUUUAAGAAAAAAUAUUGAAAAUGAAUUAAAAUAUUAUGGUUACAAAUAUAUUCAUCAAGAAAAAAUGAGUUUUGGUUUCGAAACUAAAGGUUAUGAAGAUUUUAAAGGAACAAAUUUGUUAGUAAGUAUAGAAUUUAUAGGAAGGCUCACUAAUAGAAGUAGCUCCAGAUAUAGAGUAAAUGUGAAUGACGUAAUUGAUAGUAUGCAAUCAAAAGGUAUAAAGUUUAUGAAUCCUCUUAAUAUUGGUUCUGAAGAAAGAGCUGGAGAAGAAUGGAAGAUAGGUGAAUUAAUAGAGAAAAAAGAGUUAAAGCAACCUGAAAACUACAUAAGCUAUCAAAAUUGUGAAGGAAGUAGCAGUAUUCGAUUUAUGAACUAUAAAGCUGCAUCAGUAGAAGACUCUGAAUCUUUUAUAUCAGAACCCGAAAUUAAUGAUGAUAAAAAUAAAGGUAUAUCUGAAUGCAUGGAAAAGGCUGAUUUAGAAGAUGAAAUAAUUCAUUGGGAAAAGAAGCUAAAACAUAUUGAAUGGGAAUAUAGUCAUUCUAUGACAAAGGAUUCGCCUAAAAUUAGAGAAAGAGAACUAUUUAUCAUUAGAGAAAUUGCAAGGUUAAAGAAACUAAAAAAUGAUAAAAAGUUUGUCACUAGUAGUUCAACCAUGGAAGAUAAAAUUAUAGAAUCUGCAGAAAGGGAAGACCCCUGAAAAAAAAUUGAGAAAAAAGAAGAAGUUGUUAGUGAAGAAGAGCAAUGGGAUAUCAAUAAUAAGUUAUUAUUAGAAAGUUAUGAGGAGGAGGAAGAAUUAAUAAAAGAAAUGUGGUUAGAAGAUGAAAGAUAUGAUGAUUCAGAACAAAAUAGUGAUUUCUAUAACUCACUAGAUGAUGUGGGAGAAUCUGUAAAAGUUCUAUGGGAACAAUGGGUAGAGUCAUACCCUAGUCAAUAUGAAGAAUUAAAAAGGGCAGGAAGUAACCCUAAUAACUUUGCGAAUGUUAUCUCAAAUAUGAUCAUAGCAGAAGAUCCAGAAUUAGGACAUACCUCAUUACAAAAUGAGAGGUUAAGAGAAAUAGAAAAUUUAACAUUAACUAGCUGGAAAGGUAUAAAAGAAUUCUCUCAGCAUUAUUUGUAUAAUGCUACUACUGCUAAACAAGGUUUUAAUGUAGGUGUAGUAGAAAGAUAUUUUAAUAAGUUGCCCGAUCCUCUAGGUUCCAUAAUAUUUGAGGAGUAUAAAAAAGAAACAGGAGGAAAUGUGGUAAAUAUAUCCCAAGCCAUAACAUUUGUUUUCAAACAGCUAAGAAAGGUAUGUACUAGCAUUCAAGCCCAAAGAAGUAUGAAGAAAUCAGAUUACAAUUUUUGCAAUAACAUUGUCCAAAUACCACUAACAUAUGGAGAAGAAAGGCAUAGGAAUCACUUAAGUAGAACUUGUCCUAAUAAAGACCAGAAAAGAUACUCUAGCAAAUAUGAAGAACAAGAGAGAGUAUUAAUUAUAGAUAGCGUUAAUGAGAAUAUAUUAGUAUGUGAUGAUGAAAUAAAAGACGAUGAGUCAAUAUAUUCAAUUAUAGAGACAGAUGAAGUAGAAAAUGAGGCUCCAGAAUAUGAAUCAAGUGAAGAUGAAAUAGACCUAAUAGAUGAAUUAGCCGGUUUAAAAAUUGAAAUGAUGAACCAAGUAGAUUGUGAACAUGAUUGGAUUAGAGGAAAAGGUGAUUAUAACAUAAAAUGUGCUUUCUGUAUAUAUUACCCAAGCCAAGAUAAUAGGUUUACAUGUAGCUUGUGUUUAAAACAGGCAUGCGCCUCAUGUCUAAGAGCCAAUAAUCAAAAGUGGAGACAAGAAAUAGAAUUAGAACCAGAAGAACGAAUAUUAUCCAAUAGGGUUAGAAAUUUAGAAAAUAAAAUAAAUAAGCUAGAAGCAGAACUAGAAAAACUUAAAGAUUAGUUAGAAAAUAGUAAUAGGCAAGACAAUAAUGUUGCUGAAACCACGGAAGUGAAGGAGCAAAUGGUAACAGUAAGGGAUAAAAAAGGAGACAAACUAAUACAAUUGAAAGAUGCAAUUACUAGUUUUGGGAAUAAAUAUAUUGUUCGAUUACCAUUCAAAGAAGUGUUAGGAAUAAGGAUUCCAGUUAGGAUUGUUCUUAAGCCAAAUAUUUCAUAUAAAAUAUAGGCACUAUUAGAUACUAGUUGCGCUAAGAACAUCAUCCAUGAUAAAUAUUUUAUGAGAUGUCCCGAAAUAGUUGAAACUAUAGAUGAUAAUAAAGCUGAAGUAUCUACCGAUAUGUCAGGAAUAAAGAAGAUACAUAAUCAGCUAGCAUAUAAUAUUGAAGCUUAUAUAAAUGGCACAAAAUAUAUAAUAGAUGAAAUUACAAUAAGAGAUUUGUCAGUAAUAAAUGAUGACAUGAUAAUAGGGUUAAGAUUUUUACAACAAUCUUUACAAACCACAAUCAUACAUGAAGAAAGGGUAACAUUUAUCCCUUAUCAAGAUAAUAUUCCAUACAUAUCAUAAGUAAGAAAA